GUCACAAUGGCCUUGGAACAUGGGAGCACCCACCUUCAGAGGUCCCAUCUGGCUGUAAAUCGUCCUAGUCAUUAGGCGAUGAUAGCAAUUAGAGGAACCAAAUUGGAACUGGAGCUCAGUGUUGGAAUGUGGACUCUGACCUCAAAUUUGGAUGUUCCCCUCUUGUGAGCCACAGAUUCCCCAGCCAUGAAAUCAGAAUACAGUCAACCUCUGGCUUUCACCAUCCUUAUUAACAUAAUGAAUCAGCGUCCAUAAGCAAGUUUUCAGUGGACACAAUCCAUUGUCUCAUUUGCUGUUCCAGUUCUGCUAGCAGGUGGCACUGCAGGAGGCCUCAUUAUCGCCUUCCUCCCCCCACCCCAUCCCAAGCUAGGAAAGAGCCUCUUUCCUUUGAUCUCUGCCCCUGGGGCUUCCUGGAGCAAGAGGCGGUGGCUUUGAUUGGGCCUUGCCCACGUCAGGGAGGCUUCCUUCUGAGGUUCCCAAGAGGUUUCCAAAGCGAAUGUCCAGAGCAGGGGGCCUGGCCUGGCAUCACUCCUCAUCUGAGAUUCUCUGUGCCUGUGUUGCUCCACCUUAACCACAUAGACAAUUGAGAAUUAACUGCAAUUUCUCCCUGAGAAGCUGAGGAUCAGGUCGAGUUGGAAAAAUCUGAGUACUAAAUCCAACGUGGCUUCUCAAGUGAACUUGGAGGGCACAGAUCAUCUACUGACCUUCCUUUAACCUCUGGCUCCCUACCUGGGAAUUGCAGGAGAGGCGCAGCAUGGGAUCCGCAGACGCAGCCCGCUGUGCGGAGAGGCCAGACGAGGACUGAUCUUUCUGCUGCUUCAAAGGGAGCCGAGCCCUUCCUGCCGUUGCUGUUGAUCAAAGUCUCUGCAGAGCAUAUUUAAUGCGCCCUGCCCUCCCCCACGUUGUGCCCGGGGGGCAGAGUCCCCCCUUGUCAUGCUGAGACUUCCUCCAAACCUUACUGCAAACUCGAGAGACACCCCCACCUACCUUCCAGGCGGGGUCCCACUGCACCUACCAGGGCCAGGAGUUCCCAUUCCCUGCCGGCUCCUUCUCCAGGUGACUCAGCCCAAGGCCAGGGCCUGGCAGUGGACAUGGAUAUCAUGCCCGUUGUGCAGAUAAGAGCCCGGGCCAGAGAGGUGGUAACUUGCCCAGAGCCACAGGCUGGUUAUGCCUUGGGAAACCCCCAUUCGUAAAAGAUCACGGGGCCUGUGUCCUCACAAAGCCCGUGUCUGAUGGUGGGACAUGCUCCUCCCUCGGAGCUGCCAGUCCACCGAGCACACACAGAACCCAGAAAGACCACAGAAAUAACCCGUGUGAAAAGGAAGGGUGGGCCUUGUUUCUAAGACGUCUCACUUUCGAAAUCGUAAAAAAUCUAUAAACUCUUUUAUUUCACUUUCCCUCCCAGGUGGGGCACAAAGCAGAUUUGUCUUCCCUUUUUCCCUGUCCCCUCCCCAAAUGACACCCAGCUUCAUCUGUUUGCAAAUAGUGCUCUGCCUUACAUGUGAAAAUCCUUAAAUGCCUUUCCAUUAAAUACAGUGUGAAUUUUGAAGUCCUUAGCGUGGUGUUCAAGGCUCUGAAAACCCUUGAGAGGCCAUGUGGCCCAGUGGUUAAGGGCAUGGGCUCCUGGGCUAGCAUCCUAGCUCCUGAAACUCAUGGCUUUAACCCAUCGAUUAUUUGGAAGUAUGUUGUUUAAUUUCCAGUAUUUGGGGGAUUUUUCAGAUAAUCUCUGUUAUUUAUUUCAAGUUUAAUUCUAUUAUAGUCAGAGAACAUACCCUGCAUGAUUUAAAUUCUUUUAAAUUUGUUACGAUUUCUUUUAAGACCUAGAAUAUGGUCUAGAUUAGAGCAACUUGAAAAGAAUGUGCAUUCUGCUAUUGGUGGUGGAGCCUUCUACAAAUGUCACUUAGGUCAAGUUGGUUAAUGGUGUUGUUCAGGUCUUCCAAAUCCCCACUGAUUUUCUCUUUAUUUUUCUAUCAGUGACGGAUAAGUAUUAAAGUCCCCAAGUAUAACUGGA